rnacentral:rRNA from 1 species
CAGCCGCCGCGGUAAUACGUAGGUGGCAAGCGUUGUCCGGAAUUAUUGGGCGUAAAGGGCUCGCAGGCGGUUUCUUAAGUCUGAUGUGAAAGCCCCCGGCUCAACCGGGGAGGGUCAUUGGAAACUGGGAAACUUGAGUGCAGAAGAGGAGAGUGGAAUUCCACGUGUAGCGGUGAAAUGCGUAGAGAUGUGGAGGAAUACCAGUGGCGAAGGCGACUCUCUGGUCUGUAACUGACGCUGAGGAGCGAAAGCGUGGGGAGCGAACAGGAUUAGAUACCCCCGUAGUCCCUGUCUCUUAUAA